rnacentral:rRNA from 1 species
UACGAAGGGUGCUAGCGUUGUUCGGAAUUACUGGGCGUAAAGCGCGCGUAGGCGGCUUCUCAAGUCAGGGGUGAAAUCCCACGGCUCAACCGUGGAAUUGCCUUUGAAACUGUGAAGCUGGAGUGUCGGAGGGGAUAGCGGAAUUCCUAAUGUAGAGGUGAAAUUCGUAGAUAUUAGGAGGAACACCGGUGGCGAAGGCGGCUAUCUGGACGACAACUGACGCUGAGGCGCGAAAGCGUGGGGAUCAAACAGG